rnacentral:rRNA from 1 species
UUAGAUACCCUAUUAUUCCUAAACUCACUAAACUUUAGGGUAGUAACUAGCUAUGUUCUUCAAACCCAAAGGAUUUGGCGGUGCCUUAACAUACCAGAGGAACCUGCCUCGUAAUCGUAACUACGCGCUAAAUCUUACCUUAAAUUAGUUUGUAUACCGUCGUCUAGGCUGGAUCCAAAGAAACUACCUCUCAAGGAAAACUGAGAUGUCAGAUCAAGGUGCAGCUUUUUAAGGUGCAAGGUUGGUUACAGUUAGCAUAAGAACUGGACGUUUAUGUGAAAUAAUAAACUAAAAUAGGAUUUGGCAGUAACGCAAAGAAAC